UACGAAGGGUGCAAGCGUUACUCGGAAUUACUGGGCGUAAAGCGUGCGUAGGUGGUGAGUUAAGUCUGUCGUGAAAGCCCCGGGCUCAACCUGGGAAUGGCGAUGGAUACUGGCUCGCUAGAGUGCGGUAGAGGAGAGUGGAAUUCCCGGUGUAGCAGUGAAAUGCGCAGAUAUCGGAAGGAACACCGGUGGCGAAGGCGGUUCUCUGGGCCUUACCUGACGCUGAGGAGCGAAAGCGUGGGGAGCAAACAGG
rnacentral:rRNA from 1 species